CUCCCACCUCGGUCUCUCGGGAAUAUCCAUCCUCCCCGCGCGGGAGGUUCGGGACCAGCGAUCCCGAAUUUUGGUGGAAUUCUGACCCCUCCCCUCCCGUGACGUUUCUCCCCGCAGGACCUCAUCCCUCCGAUGGAACGCCGGCACCAAGGAGCGGAUGCUGAUCAAGGUGACGGACCGGGAGCCCAGCUUCCUCCUCCACCAAGGCAACGGCUACGCCCCGGAAAGCCAAGCGGGCUCCCGCUCCCGCCGGCCCUCGGGCGGCCAACAGUCGCCCAACCUCCAAACCUUCUCCUCGGACGCCGACAGCUCCGUCUUCUUCCCGGAGAGGAAGCAGUCGCCCUUCCUGAAGAGGGCCGAGCACGUGGGCAGCUGCUCGCCGCUGCUGGGCCGGGGCGACUCCUUCUGCUCGCCGCUCCAAGCCCAGCACCGCAAACAUUCCAGCGAAUCCCAGCCCUCGUCGCCGCGCUACGCCUACGAGCCCCCGCUCUACGAGGAGCCCCCCAUGGAGUACCAGGCCCCCAUCUACGACGAGCCGCCCGUGGACAUGCAGUACGAAGCCAGCGGCGCCUACAAGGCCGGCUCGCCGCAGAAGUCGCCCAUCCGCAAGCCUCACCCUUUCCUUCAGUCGCCCAAGCAAGGCUCCAACUCGCCCUACCAGCAGUUGGUGCUCACCAAGCAGAAGUGUCCCGAGCGCUUCAUGAGCCUGGAGUACAGCCCGGCCGGCAAGGAGUACGUCCGGCAGUUGGUCUACGUGGAGCAGUCGGGCUCCAGCCCCAAGAUGAAGACGGGCUUGAGGCACAAAUAUUCCCCCAACCCCAUCGGCGGCUCCUACUCGCUGCAGCACAGCCCCUGCCUGCUGCGGGACCAACGCCUGGACGUCAAAUCGGGCGACUACAGCAGCAUGGAGGGACCCGACUUCUGCCCCGGCCCCGCCGGCGCCCAGGUGGCCCAGGGCGAGGACUCCAUGUCGUGGUCCAGCCAGCAGGACACCUUGUCCUCCAGCGGUUACUCGCCCUCCACCAGGAAGAGGAAAAGCCGGAAGCCUUCGGUGAACCACGACGCCAACGCCUCCUCCACGGAGGGCUCGGGGGAGCGGGAGGCGCUGGGCGAGCCGGGCGAGGAGCGAGCCACGCCGGGGCCCACCAGGUCGCCGAUGAACCGGACGGAGAGCAAGGCGGCCGAGGCGGAGGCGGCGCGGGGCUUCCCGGAGCCGUUCCUGGCGCAGGCGCGGCUGGCGUGGGAGGCGCAGCAGGCCCACUACCACAUGAAGCAACGGAGCAGCUGGGAUUCCCAAAAGGACGGUUCGGGCUACGAGAGCGACGGAGCCCUCCCGCUGCCCAUGCCGGGCCCCGUGGUGAGAGCCUUCAGCGAGGACGAGGCGUUGGCGCAGCAGGAGAACAAGCACUGGAAGAGGAACACCUUCGAGAAGUUGGGCUUCCCCCAGAUCCUGCUGGAGAAGAGCGUCUCCGUGCAGACCAACCUGGCCUCGCCCGAGCCUUACCUGCAUCCAUCUCAGGUAACGCCCUUGGGGGGGUUCUCGGUUUUGGGGGUCGUCACCGCGCGGCCGAUCCUGGUUAAGGUUCUUCU
ensembl:lncRNA